rnacentral:rRNA from 1 species
UACAGAGACUGCAAGCGUUAUUCGGAUUCACUGGGCGUAAAGGGUGCGCAGGCGGCCAAGUGGGUGAGGCGUGAAAGCCCGGGGCUUAACUCCGGAAUUGCACCUCAAACUACAUGGCUAGAGCAUUGGAGAGGGUAGCAGAAUUCACGGUGUAGCAGUGAAAUGCGUAGAUAUCGUGAGGAAUACCAGAGGCGAAGGCGGCUACCUGGACAAUUGCUGACGCUCAGGCACGAAAGCGUGGGGAGCAAAACGG